GGAGUUAGCCGGUGCUUCUUCUGCGAGUAACGUCACAGAUGUAAGGUAUUAACUUACACCCUUUCCUCCUCGCUGAAAGUGCUUUACAACCCGAAGGCCUUCUUCACACACGCGGCAUGGCUGCAUCAGGGUUUCCCCCAUUGUGCAAUAUUCCCCACUGCUGCCUCCCGUAGGAGUCUGGGCCGUGUCUCAGUCCCAGUGUGGCUGAUCAUCCUCUCAGACCAGCUAGGGAUCGUCGCCUAGGUGAGCCUUUACCUCACCUACUAGCUAAUCCCACCUGGGCUUAUCCAUCAGCGCAAGGCCCGAAGGUCCCCUGCUUUCCCCCGUAGGGCGUAUGCGGUAUUAGCAGUCGUUUCCAACUGUUAUCCCCACAAAUGGGCAAAUUCCCAGGCAUUACUCACCCGUCCGCCGCUCGUCAUCUUCAAAAGCAAGCUUUUGAAAUGUUACCGCUCGACUUGCAUGUGUUAGGCCUGCCGCCACGCGUCAUCUGAGCAGAUACAACUACUGA
rnacentral:rRNA from 1 species